UUCCUUCAUCCAUUCCAUCUUCUUUGUCUCUCCAUUUCCUUUCCAUUUUCCUAUACAUAUUCCUUCAUCCAUCUCAUCUUCUUUGUCUCUCCAUUUCCUUUCCAUUUUUCUCUCCAUUCUCUAGUUUUAAGUUUCUGCAUUUUUAAGCAAAGAGAAGAAGAGAAGAAGAAGCCAUGAAGCCUCCUAGCCGUCAUCAUCCACCUUGUGCCGUGAUAGAGAAGUCUUGCUUUAAAGAUUCAAGAUCAACGUCUCAAGCUCUUCAUCAUCCACUCCCUUCAUGGUAUUUGUAGAACUAUGAAUUCUAGUUAACAAAUAAUGUUAAGGGCAAAGUUUAAAGCCCGUUUAUAUGUUUUGAGAUAAAGUUGUGAUUUCUAUAUGUUGAUUUUUAUGUUGCUUAUGUGGGUUUGUUUAAUUAAAUUUGCAUGAUAGAAAACUUUUGUAUUUUAAUCUUAUGUGGUUGCAAACACUUAGGGUUUUGAUAUAAUUGGUGCUAGGUUUAAGAACAUGAAAUCGACUUUUCGUUUUGUGUAAACUUGAAUCAAAGUAGUAAAGGUUUUGUGCAAAGACCGAAUUUAAUUAAAGAGGAUUGCAAUUAGGUGGACUUUUCCAUACUAAGUUGUACACUUGAGUUGAUAGCCUUUCUCUAUGUCUAAUGCGUUGAACAUGUCAUGAUUGACUAGCUUUCUAG
rnacentral:lncRNA from 1 species